rnacentral:rRNA from 1 species
GACGAACGCUGGCGGCGUGCUUAACACAUGCAAGUCGAACGCUGAAGCUCAGCUUUUGUUGGGUGGAUGAGUGGCGAACGGGUGAGUAACACGUGAGUAACCUGCCUCCUUCUUUGGGAUAACGCCCGGAAACGGGUGCUAAUACUGGAUAUUCACUGGUCUUCGCAUGGGGGUUGGUGGAAAGGGUUUUUCUGGUGGGGGAUGGGCUCGCGGCCUAUCAGCUUGUUGGUGGGGUGAUGGCCUACCAAGGCUUUGACGGGUAGCCGGCCUGAGAGGGUGACCGGGAACAUUGGGACUGAGAUACGGCCCAGACUCCUACGGGAGGCAGCAGUGGGGAAUAUUGCAGAAUGGGCGCAAGACUGAUGCAGCGACGCCGCGUGAGGGAUGGAGGCCUUCGGGUUGUGAACCUCUUUCGCUAAUGGUCAAGCCGCAACAAUGGUUGUGGUGAGGGUAGUGGGUAAAGAAGCGCCGGCUAACUACGUG